rnacentral:rRNA from 1 species
ACAGAGGGUGCGAGCGUUAAUCGGAAUUACUGGGCGUAAAGCGAGUGUAGGUGGCUCAUUAAGUCACAUGUGAAAUCCCCGGGCUUAACCUGGGAACUGCAUGUGAUACUGGUGGUGCUAGAAUAUGUGAGAGGGAAGUAGAAUUCCAGGUGUAGCGGUGAAAUGCGUAGAGAUCUGGAGGAAUACCGAUGGCGAAGGCAGCUUCCUGGCAUAAUAUUGACACUGAGAUUCGAAAGCGUGGGUAGCAAACAGGAUUAGAUACCCUGGUAGUCCACGCCGUAAACGAUGUCUACUAGCCGUUGGGGUCCUUGAGACUUUAGUGGCGCAGUUAACGCGAUAAGUAGACCGCCUGGGGAGUACGGCCGCAAGGUUA